UCUUAAGCGGUGUAAAUGUUUUACGCGAAAUUGUUUUUAUUUUAACAUUCGAAGAGAGAUCAAGAUCGAAAUGGUUUAAGUACAGAGGUAAAAUACAAACAUUCGACGUAAUGUAGGAAUUCUCUUGGGGAUUGAUAAAGUUUAAGCAAUCAUGGCGGACGAAUGCUCAUAGCGUGUCUUGUGUGUCGGUGUAACUGAAAGUAAAGUGAUCGUUCAUGAAAUUACAACUUCGUGAGGAAGAGACAUUGAAAGAAAAAAGGAACGUCGAAGGGACGACGGACAUCUUGAAAAAUAUUAAAUUACUAUGCAAUUUCUAAUUCGUUACGUUACAGGUAAUGAGAGAGAGAGAAAG